CCUACGGGCGGCUGCAGUGGGGAAUAUUGCACAAUGGGCGCAAGCCUGAUGCAGCCAUGCCGCGUGUGUGAAGAAGGCCUUCGGGUUGUAAAGCACUUUCAGCGGGGAGGAAGGCGGUGAGGUUAAUAACCUCAUCGAUUGACGUUACCCGCAGAAGAAGCACCGGCUAACUCCGUGCCAGCAGCCGCGGUAAUACGGAGGGUGCAAGCGUUAAUCGGAAUUACUGGGCGUAAAGCGCACGCAGGCGGUCUGUCAAGUCGGAUGUGAAAUCCCCGGGCUCAACCUGGGAACUGCAUUCGAAACUGGCAGGCUAGAGUCUUGUAGAGGGGGGUAGAAUUCCAGGUGUAGCGGUGAAAUGCGUAGAGAUCUGGAGGAAUACCGGUGGCGAAGGCGGCCCCCUGGACAAAGACUGACGCUCAUGUGCGAAAGCGUGGGGAGCAAACAGGAUUAGAUACCUUGUAGUC
rnacentral:rRNA from 1 species